rnacentral:rRNA from 1 species
AAUAUCCCAAGGCGCGUGAGAGAACCCUGGUUAAGGAACUCGCAAAUCGACACCGUAACUUCGGGAGAAGGUGUGCCGCUGGCGGUUAGUGACUUCGCGUCACGAAGCUGUCGGUGGUCGCAGUGAAAUGGCGGUUGUGACUGUUUACUAAAAACACAGGACUCUGCGAAGUCGUAAGACGACGUAUAGGGUCUGAUGCCUGCCCGGUGCUGGAAGGUUAAGGGGAUAUGUCAGCGCAAGCGAGGCAUUGAACCGAAGCCCCAGUAAACGGCGGCCGUAACAAUAACGGUCCUAAGGUAGCGAAAUUCCUUGUCGGGUAAGUUCCGACCUGCACGAGGGCAUAACAACAUCCGCACUGUCUCGACCAGGGACUCAGCGAAAUUACAUUGGGGGUGAAGAUGCCCUCUACCCGCGGAAAGACGGAAAGACCCCAUGAACCUUUACUGCAACUUGGCAGUGAUUUUCGGGUUGUUCUGCGUAGGAUAGGUGGGAGGCUUUGAAGCCGGGCUUCCGGGUUCGGCAGAGCCAACGUUGAAAUACCACCCUGAAUAAUCUGGAAAUCUAACCUGCGCCCAUGAUCUGGGCGAGGGACACUGCCUGGUGGGCAGUUUGACUGGGGCGGUCGCCUCCUAAAUUGUAACGGAGGCGUGCGACGGUUCCCUCAGGCUGAUUGGAAACCAGCCGUAGAGUGCAAACGCAUAAGGGAGCUUUACUGCGAGACUGACAAGUCGAACAGUUGCGAAAGCAGGUGUUAGUGAUCCGGUGGUACCACAUGGAAGGGCCAUCGCUCAUCGGAUAAAAGGUACUCUGGGGAUAACAGGCUGAUCGCGCCUGAGAGUUCACAUCGGCGGCGCGGUUUGGCACCUCGAUGUCGGCUCAUCGCAUCCUGGGGCUGGAGCAGGUCCCAAGGGUUUGGCUGUUCGCCAAUUAACGCUGUACGCGAGCUGGGUUUAAAACGUCGUGAGACAGUUUGGUCCCUAUCUUCCGUGGGCGCAGGACACUUGAGAGGAGCUAUCCAUAGUACGAGAGGACCUGGAUGGACGAACCUCUGGUGCUCCGGUUGUCACGCCAGUGGCAUAGCCGGGUAGCCAUGUUCGGAACAGAUAACCGCUGAAGGCAUAUAAGCGGGAAGCUGGCCUCAAGACUAGGUGUCCCUGACGCAAGUCACUAAAGGCCCCUCGAAGACUACGAGGUUGAUAGGCUCGGUGUGGAAGCGCUGCGAGGCGUGGAGCUAACGAGUACUAAUAGGCCGUGCGACUUGACCUC